GGGAUUGCUCUAGUAACGGCGAGUGAAGCAGCAAUAGCUCAAAUUUGAAAUCUGGCGUCUUCGACGUCCGAGUUGUAAUUUGUAGAGGAUGCUUCUGAGUAACCACCGACCUAAGUUCCUUGGAACAGGACGUCAUAGAGGGUGAGAAUCCCGUAUGCGGUCGGAAAGGUGCUCUAUACGUAGCUCCUUCGACGAGUCGAGUUGUUUGGGAAUGCAGCUCUAAAUGGGAGGUAAAUUUCUUCUAAAGCUAAAUAUUGGCCAGAGACCGAUAGCGCACAAGUAGAGUGAUCGAAAGAUGAAAAGCACUUUGGAAAGAGAGUUAAAAAGCACGUGAAAUUGUUAAAAGGGAAGGGAUUGCAACCAGACUUGCUCGCGGUGUUCCGCCGGUCUUCUGACCGGUCUACUCGCCGCGUUGCAGGCCAGCAUCGUCUGGUGCCGCUGGAUAAGACUUGAGGAAUGUAGCUCCCUCGGGAGUGUUAUAGCCUCUUGUGAUGCAGCGAGCGCCGGGCGAGGUCCGCGCUUCGGCUAGGAUGCUGGCGUAAUGGUCGUAAUCCGCCCGUCUU
rnacentral:rRNA from 1 species